rnacentral:lncRNA from 1 species
CCAAUACAUAAACCAUGUGAAGUACUUGUGUGAAGGAUAUUAUUGGAGGUACUACAGUGAUGUAGUUAAAAACAAACAAACCAGACCCUUCAGGAAGACACUCAAUCUCUGAUGACAAAAAUCUUAACAUUUUUACUGCAACUAUAAACAAUCUUACAAAUGAAAACACUGAUUACUGGUGUGCAGUGGAGAUUGACGAAGUGUCAGAUGAUGCAUUUUAAACUGUCAGUUACCAGUGGUAAGUCCCUAUCUGUAUACACAUUUUAAGUCAUUACACAUUACAAGACAUUACAUAUUACAAGAAAGAAAAAUACACCAAGUAACAUUUGACGGUUCUGACAAAGACUGAUUGCGCUCUUAUUUGUCAUUCAAAGUGAGAAUAUAUAUGAAAUAGCAAUGAUGUUUAUUUAGCACUUUUUAGCAUCUUUCUAUUUUUUAUUUAUUUAUUUGACUUUAAGAUACCCCCAGUCUCUAUGUCGAUCAUCAGAGAACUACAGGCUAUAUUGGAGGAAACAUAACCAUCAGAUGUCACCACAGUAACUCUGGAGAAAUGAAGUGGUGCAGGCUGGGCAGGAACUGUGUGACAGGAUCAUCAGGAUCUAUAGAUGGUGCAGCAGUGACCACUCACAUGAGAGACCCAAAUGUUUUCACAAUGACCGUGAGUGGACUAAGGUCAGAGGACAGUGGCUGGUAUUUGUGUGCUAAAGAGGACAUUGGGAGACUGACUACCUCUACCCACACUGUUGCUGGAAAUCUAACAUUUACCACAUUCGAAAAUAACCAACAUAGGUGAGAUAUUUUUGUAUUUAUAUUCACUAUGUGUGCAGUAUUAUGGUAUAUAAGUGGUAGAACUUUUCUUGUAAGGGAGUCCGUAUACAUAUUUUUUAGAGGCCCUAUUAUGACAUAUUAAACUAAACUAAACUACACUGUGUGUUCUCAAAAUAGAUUUUGUACAGCUUCAUUUGACCCUAAGAGCCUCAUCUUUUGUCUGAGUUUGUUGGUCUUCAUUUUAAUUGCGGUGCCG